UAGAGUCUAGUUUAAUAAAACAACUAAUUUCGACUUAGUAUAUCUUGAAUAUUUUCAAGGACUCUAA
rnacentral:tRNA from 1 species